rnacentral:misc_RNA from 1 species
UAUCCUUUAUUCAUCCUGCUGGAAG